AAUUUUACACCACCUCUUUUAUGACUUUGCACACUAGUUGUAUGUUUAUUCUGCUGUUUAUCAAAUCUGUUCAACUUAGAAUUUCACUAAUUUAUAUAUAUUUUUCUUUUUAAAAUAAUGCAUCGUUGGAGCAAUAUGAUGGAGUCGAAUGAUAUUUUUAAUGUGACGCCACCAUCAACUUCCACUCCUAAGGGCUUAAAAAGGAAAAAAGUGCAACUAUCGCAUAAUUUUUACGCUAGCUCUUCAAGUCAAGUACUCACUCCGCACAGCCAAAACAUGUUUUACUCUGAAGAAACUGCAACUGCUUCCGAGGGCUUAGAUGCAAACAAAGAUAUAAUGGCCAAGUUAGAUUUAAUUUUGGAAAGGCAAUUGAACUUGGAAAGUCGCCUGGACAAAUUGGAAGAAAACGUAAGUGAUCAUUAUAUUUAGGUCACUUCCUUACAGAAGUAUACAUUUUAUAUAUUUUUUAAUGCAAAUUUUCAUACAUCUGUGUGUGCAAAAAUAGCAGUAAAAUUCAAUUUUGAAUUUAGCUGCUAUUUUUGUGCACACAGGUGUAUAUCAAUUAUUACUAUCUACAUAUGUACAUAUUUCAGAUAAUUAAUAAAACUGAUGUCAAGGCCCACCACAAAAUCGUGCGAGAGACGAAAGUCCUAGUAAAAAAGGUGCAGCAGACAGUGUGCCGCAUCUCGGGAGAAAGAUGCGAAGACUUUCACACCGAACUGGCAGUUUUUAUGCCAAUGCAGACCUUGGAUGCGGUCUUUGAUUUGGAGGAGAAGAUAUUAGAAAAAAAUUAUGAAGAUGCAGUUAUAACAUAUCUUUUCACUUUAAAGGGCACUUCUGGGGAUAUUGGCGUGGUUGUGAAGCGAGUUUUUGGCGACGAAGUCCUCAGUUUGUUCAAUUGGGAUGGGAGGUGCGGGAAGAAAUCGCUUUCAGAAUUAAAAAUAGUUAGCGUGGCUCUAUUUGAAAUUUUCAAACUGCAUGGACGCAUCGACUUCGAAAAGGAAGUCCGAAAGAGCGUUGAGCAAAGCCACAACAGGCAAAAGCAAAAACGCUAUUUGCUGAAUAAAAAAAACUUAUAACAAAAUAGUAAAUUUUUCUUAAAAUACUAAUAUAAAAGAAAACAUACAAAAAAAAUGGAUUUUUAUUUCUAAAUAUAUUUUGCGGUAUUACAUUAUGGCAAGUAAAAAACCUUAGUAUUUCACUUUGUAUUUAACUGCAAAAUGACGGUCAAAAAAAUUGUCAAAUCACUAGAAGUUUUACUCUCAUUUCACCACACAUUUUCUCAAAAAAUGACCGUCAGUAAAC